rnacentral:rRNA from 1 species
CCUACGGGAGGCAGCAGUGAGGAAUAUUGGUCAAUGGGCGCAAGCCUGAACCAGCCAAGUCGCGUGAGGGAUGACGGUCCUAUGGAUUGUAAACCUCUUUUGUCGGGGAGCAAGGCCCGCCACGUGUGGCGGGAAGGAGAGUACCCGAAGAAAAAGCAUCGGCUAACUCCGUGCCAGCAGCCGCGGUAAUACGGAGGAUGCGAGCGUUAUCCGGAUUUAUUGGGUUAAAAGGGUGCGUAGGCGGAAGGUUAAGUCAGCGGUAAAAUGUCGGUGCUCAACACCGGCCUGCCGUUGAAACUGGUCUUCUUGAGUGAGCGAGAAGUAUGCGGAAUACGUGGUGUAGCGGUGAAAUGCAUAGAUAUCACGCAGAACUCCGAUUGCGAAGGCAGCAUACCGGCGCUCAACUGACGCUGAGGCACGAAAGCGUGGGGAUCGAACAGGAUUAGAUACCCGGGUAGUC